rnacentral:rRNA from 1 species
GACGGAGGGGGCAAGCGUUGUUCGGAAUUAUUGGGCGUAAAGAGCUCGUAGGCGGCUUGUCGCGUCGUCUGUGAAAACCCACGGCUCAACUGUGGGCUUGCAGUCGAUACGGGCAGGCUAGAGUUCGGUAGGGGAGACUGGAAUUCCUGGUGUAGCGGUGAAAUGCGCAGAUAUCAGGAGGAACACCGAUGGCGAAGGCAGGUCUCUGGGCCAUAACUGACGCUGAGAAGCGAAAGCAUGGGGAGCGAACAGG